rnacentral:rRNA from 1 species
CGCAUAGAUCCAAGAACCGCAUGGUUCUUGGCUGAAAGAUGGCGUAAGCUAUCGCUUUUGGAUGGACCCGCGGCGUAUUAGCUAGUUGGUGAGGUAACGGCUCACCAAGGCGAUGAUACGUAGCCGAACUGAGAGGUUGAUCGGCCACAUUGGGACUGAGACACGGCCCAAACUCCUACGGGAGGCAGCAGUAGGGAAUCUUCCACAAUGGACGCAAGUCUGAUGGAGCAACGCCGCGUGAGUGAAGAAGGCUUUCGGGUCGUAAAACUCUGUUGUUGGAGAAGAAUGGUCGGCAGAGUAACUGUUGUCGGCGUGACGGUAUCCAACCAGAAAGCCACGGCUAACUACGUGCCAGCAGCCGCGGUAAUACGUAGGUGGCAAGCGUUAUCCGGAUUUAUUGGGCGUAAAGCGAGCGCAGGCGGUUUUUUAAGUCUGAUGUGAAAGCCCUCGGCUUAACCGAGGAAGCGCAUCGGAAACUGGGAAACUUGAGUGCAGAAGAGGACAGUGGAACUCCAUGUGUAGCGGUGAAAUGCGUAGAUAUAUGGAAGAACACCAGUGGCGAAGGCGGCUGUCUGGUCUGUA